UUUCUCUGAAAAAUGUGUCAGUGUGAUAAGUUAAAAGUUAAAUAGCUUUGCUUAUUUUUUUUUCACAGUGUAACAGACUCCUGUGGACAAAACCCCAACCCAAACAGAACAUAAGAUUUGGCCCAUGUGAAUACAAAUUCAUGAAUUCAUUUCAAAAAGUUUAGCCUCCUCAAACUUGAAGUCUUUUGCUUUACACGACUACAAAGGCAUCCUACUUACCUGCUUUUCCAAAGAGUUUCCUGUUUUAUGCGACGUAAUACUCCCCAAAAGGAAACCUAAAAACAAGAAUAGUCAGAAGUCUGGUUUUAAUCCAGUGUUUUUCAAGCUGCUGUGCGAAUGUACAGACUGCAUCUCAAGAAUUCUUACCAUGAUUGAGGAAGAGGUAGAGAUGUAAACAGCUUACAGAUGUGUCAUUUUGAAGACCUGAUAAUAGGGGAGGAGUAACAACCAGUUCUCAUCACACAGAUGAGAAAACUGAGUCCCAAUGAAUUGCUUAAUUCCACAGAUCUACUCAGCAGAGGGAAGAAUUUACUUCAUUUUUCAAAGAAGUCAGUAAUGUAUAUUGCCUUAGAUUAAGUACCUCAAAAGUAAAGUUUAUUUUCAAACUCUAUCAAUAAUGGUAAUAUUCAGUAUAUGUCUGAUGUUUAAUGAAUAUUAUUUCCUAUAGUCUUAUGAUUAUUACAUUCUUUGCAGGAUAAAUGGAUAACAAAUGAAGUCGUUAACAUUACUGAGUUAUUCAGAGAUACCUAUAAUAUAAAUAAAAUCAAUAUUUUCAAAUUUUUUAUUAAUCAAAUUCCUUGGGUUUUUAUGUUGCUGACAAGAUUUUUAAUAAGUAAUUGACUUUUGAGAUUAAAUUAUAUUCUUAUCUAAACCUAAUAUAGGCAGAAAUAUAGAAGAACCUCCAUGAACAACAGAAAAAUCCUUGAACCUUGAGUUCCUGGGGCAAGUCAAAGACAGACCAAAGUGCUUAAGGUGACCUACCUCUUUUUGAGAACAGAAAUGCCCUAACUCCCAGCUCGCACUUUGCAAAAGAAAUGUUACCUUUGUGUCAGUCAUGAACAAACUGCUUCUUUAAGUAGCUUCAGGCUUUUAAAGUCCCUGAGACUGGCCCUUAAGAAUUGUUACAACAUUUAUUAUUUGACCUUUUUCCUAAAACUUUCAGAUCCCCAACGCUUAACCUCAUCAUGUAGUAGGACUUGGUGUUUUCUUGCAGAUAAAGCAGGCUUCACCAACUUGUAUUAAUGCAACAGGGUUGAGAUUAAUCCUGGCCUUUUGUUUUAGAAACAAAACUUUCAAAGGACAAAGAAACUCAAAGUCACAGUAUUAUUUCAAAAACAUUAUUUGGAAUCUCUCCAACAAGUUAACAGCUUACACCAAAGAAAGCCCCUUUGGUCUUUUCCCCUUCUCUCAUACUGGAGUUGUUGCUAGUAUAUUGCAAACUUAGUUAGGUGCCUCCUAGCUUGCCCUUCAGCUGCCAUGUGUAGAAAAAUAUUUGUCUCAGGAGCAGGGAAGACGGUCCAAGAUGCCUAUAACCAGCUGAGACAUUUAGCUCAGGGAGGACUCAUUCAUGCCUUGUUUAAAAUCAAGGUUCUAUUAGGUGUGCUUUGCAUAGAUCUGCCAGGUCCAGGGCGCCUUUCACGAAAUCAGGUUGCACAGUCAGCAACAGGAAUUCAUAGGAAAAAAUAGAUUAUACUUUUUCUCUUAAGCAAGAGAAACACUUGCUUAACAAUUGAAUCAAAACAAAGCCAAAACCAAAUAAAAGGCAUUGGUCUCAACUAUCAACCCAUCAUCUAGGUUUUAAGCCCCGCAUGCAUUAGGUAUUUGCUCUAAUGCUCUCCCUCCCCUUCCCCCACCACAAACCACCAUGGCACAUGUAUACCUAUGUAACAAACCUGCACGUUCUGCACAUGUAUCCCAGAACUUAAAGUAAAAUAAAAAUAAAUAAAUAAAUAAACG
rnacentral:lncRNA from 10 species